AUGGCCUGGACUCUGUUUCUACUCACUCUCCUCACCCAGGCCACAGGAACCUGGGCCCAGAAUGUUCUCAAUCAGCCUCUCUCAGUGUCUGGAACUCAGGGACAGACAGUUACCAUCUCCUGUACUGGGACCAGCAAUGACAUUGGGAGAUAUAAUGCUGUCUCCUGGUACCAGCAGCAGGAGGGCACAGCUCCCAAAAUGCUGAUUUAUAAUGUCAAUAAGCGGCCAUCAGGGAUCCCAGAUCGCUUCUCUGGCUCCAAGUCUGGCAACACAGCGACCCUGACCAUCUCUGGGCUCAAGCCUGAGGAUGAAACUGAUUAUUACUGUUGUUCAUAUACAACUAGUAGCACUUUCCACAGAAGUGUUCUCACUCGAACCCUCUGGGGUGUCCCAAGUGAAACAGACUGGCACAGGUUUCGAUGGUAUGGUUAUGGAAUGCAUCAUGUUGCUGCCUUCUGGGAGAAAAGGACAUGUGAUGUGGAUGGUGAUCAGUGA